GGGAAAAUGAGAGGAUUUAUCUUUUCCUCAUCAAGUGCUGUUUUUUGCAUACAAUGGUUCUGAGAAGAGCUCUGAAAUGAAAAUGAGGAGGAAUAACAUCAACUAGGCUAAUUAGAAAUAACAAUUGUCAACAGGAAAGAAGAAACAGAAGUAUAGUGUUGCCAGAGCUAGAAGCAAAGCUCUAGGACACGCUACUGCACUUCAGUCACUACGCAGUGCAUACAGGACAUAAUGCUGGCAGAAGUCUCAGGUCCAAGGAAGAACCAUAAUUCACCUCCAUCAACACCCAAGGAAAUGAAAUUUGGCUUCCACGAGACAGCUCUGACGAAACACAAUGGCUUUGCUGGACUUGACCAUUUUACCCUUCAUCUCAGCUAACUUGUCUUCAGCCACCAUUAAACAAGAAGAAGCAGCUGCUGGAAUCUAGGUAAAUAUAACUUUGAUUUCUCUCCAAGUUCUACGUUUAACCUGGGUGAGUGAAUGAAGGGCUGAAGGAUUAUCACAUUCUUAGGCUAUAAUUUAUGUUUAUGUCAGGCAAGGGAACACUGUUCA
rnacentral:lncRNA from 1 species